CACCUUCUCGGCCAGGGCGCUCAGGACCAGCAGCUUCUCCUCUACGCGGCCCGACCCCGGGGACGUCCCGGGCGCAGCCAGCCCGCCCACACGGCCCGCAGCGCCGCCCCGCCGCAUUGGACCAGCACUGGCAGCAGUCGCCCGGCCACUAGCGCCGCCGCGUCCUCGGCGGGCCCGGCCUCAUCCCCGUCCCCGCCCCCGCCUAGCGCCAGGGCGACGGCAGCCCUGCCACGCGUUCUAGCAGCGGCCCGUCCUCGCGUGGCCGCAAACAGGGCCCGACGGCCGCCAGCACCUCCACGGCAGCCUCGGCGCCAGGCGCGCGCCACCCGGCGAGCAGAUCGCGCAGCGCUUCCUCAGCCAGAGCGGCAGCCAGCUGCGGGCCCCCAGCCAGGCGGGCGCACGAGCGCAGGGCCGCGCCUGCCGCCCUCAGCACGCGCCGGCGGUGGCGGGGCGGCAGACCGGGUCCGGGCCGCCCGCUGGGCGCCCGCGCAGGCUCCGCAACAGUGGCACGAGGUACCCUGCGGCCACCUCGCGCGCCGCCUCCGGGAGCGCGCCUGCGCCACCGCCGUCGCGCGCCUCCUCGUCCUCGAGCCGCUGCAGAAGGAAGCGCAGCGUCUCCACGCGCUCCGCGGAUGCCUCCCCCUUGGCACAGCGCCCCAAGCAGGGCCCGGGGUCCCAGCUCUGCGAGAGCAGCGCUUCCGCGAGCACCCACUCCAUUUGCCGAGCGCCCGCGCCACCGGCCCGGGCUCCCAAAGGAAGGCGCCGGCGUGCGCGAUGCGUGCGCACAGGACCGGCCGGCCCCUGCGUGCGCGUGCGCCGACGGAGCCGGGUGCGCGGCCGCAGAGAGGGAGACGUAGCCUGGCUUGGUCUAGCUCAGCGUCUGUUGGGUUCCUGCCACCAACCCUGCCUAGAACCCCACCUGGUAUCUUAUUUUUAGGAGAAACGAGGCCCUCGUUAAAAGUUAAUGUAGUAUCUACACCACCUCCAUCGAUUCCUGAUUGGAGGUUGGUCUGCCUAGGACCCUAA
rnacentral:lncRNA from 1 species